CCUAGGGCGGCUGCAGUGGGGAAUAUUGGACAAUGGGCGAAAGCCUGAUCCAGCCAUGCCGCGUGUGUGAAGAAGGCCUUCGGGUUGUAAAGCACUUUCAGUGGGGAAGAAAGCCUUGGGGCUAAUACCCUCGAGGAAGGACAUCACCCACAGAAGAAGCACCGGCUAACUCCGUGCCAGCAGCCGCGGUAAUACGGAGGGUGCGAGCGUUAAUCGGAAUUACUGGGCGUAAAGCGCGCGUAGGCGGUCUGAUAAGCCGGUUGUGAAAGCCCCGGGCUCAACCUGGGAACGGCAUCCGGAACUGUCAGGCUAGAGUGCAGGAGAGGAAGGUAGAAUUCCCGGUGUAGCGGUGAAAUGCGUAGAGAUCGGGAGGAAUACCAGUGGCGAAGGCGGCCUUCUGGACUGACACUGACGCUGAGGUGCGAAAGCGUGGGUAGCAAACAGGAUUAGAUACCCCUGUAGUC
rnacentral:rRNA from 1 species